rnacentral:rRNA from 1 species
AGGGAAUCUUCCGCAAUGGACGAAAGUCUGACGCAGCAACACCGCGUGAGUGAUGAAGGUCUUCGGAUUGUAAAGCUCUGUCUUCUGGGACGAUAAUGACGGUACCAGAGGAGGAAGCCACGGCUAACUACGUGCCAGCAGCCGCGGUAAUACGUAGGUAGCAAGCGUUGUCCGGAUUUACUGGGCGUAAAGGAUGUGUAGGCGGAUAUUUAAGUGAGAUGUGAAAUCCCCGGGCUUAACUUGGGGGCUGCAUUUCAAACUGGAUGUCUAGAGUGCAGGAGAGGAAAGCAGAAUUCCUAGUGUAGCGGUGAAAUGCGUAGAGAUUAGGAAGAAUACCAGUGGCGAAGGCGGCUUUCUGGACUGUAACUGACGCUGAGGCAUGAAAGCGUGGGGAGCAAAC